UGCCAAGAGCUGAAGGCUGCGUAUCUUCCAGGUUCACCACAUUAGGAGACCAAAGCAGAUUCCUCCCUUAAAGCGUGAACAGCUGCCCACGUGCCCGUGAGCCAGCGGUGCUGUGAUGUCAUCGUGAAAAAACCUCGCAUUCAAAGCCCACACUGAGUGAGGAUGCAGCUCCUCGCCAGCACGAGCAGCUUUCAUCCUGAAGUUCAGCACCACAGCGGAGGGACAGCGGCAGGACUCCUUCCUCCAGCCUGGAUGUAGUGCUGUGGGCCGGGGUUCACCCCCCACGCUCCGUCACUGUGUGUCGAGUCCACGCCACAGCGUGGAUAUGGAUCGCCUCCUCCUGAUCAACCUGGAUGGGAAACAGUCCAUGCUUAGGCCGCUCUUAUACCGCCUGCUCAGACUUUCCGCCUCCUGGAGGAGCGGAAAGAGACCUGAUUGGCUGGAGUCACAGAGGGAGGAGCAGUGGGAGCACGCAGAGGAGGAGCAGGAUGGGGAUCUGCUGCACCCACUCUCCUGCUGCUGCCGUCUUUCAUAACAUCCCAAACUGCGGCAAAACACUCAGACACCAGAAGCUCCACAGAGGCCCUGCGUUCGAGGCACUAAUCCGAUGCUCAGGCGCCACCUGCAGGAUUACUGUGGUACUGUCCGCUGGGGAAGUCUGAUGCGUCUCUCAGCUGCUGGGCUGAGAUGCAGAAGCUGAGGUAGAUGUGAUGAUCAGAAGACCAAA